ensembl:snoRNA snoRNA:SC35-a
UAUCUACCUGCAUUAUUUGCCCCUUUUGAAUGUGUAACAGCUUUCAGUCUGUACAUCUUCUUUAGCAAAAGGAUGCUAGAUUGAAUGUGUACACUUGCAACAGUUGCCUACCAAACCCCUGCUAGCCAACUUACCGUAAGCCCUACAAUUAAA